UAUUUAAUGGAAAAGAUUAAAAAAAAAAAAAAAAGGAGGGACGGGGGGAGAGGAGAGCUCAGAUGCGCGUAUUGUCGUCCGAUACAUCAGACGUCGGUGAUGAGACCCAGCCAUCACGGUUUAGCGCAAACCAAUCCUCACUGCUCUCUCUCAAUUUCCCCGCACAGGAUUCGAACCUCGGCCCAAGCACCGGGUUUUCCUUAAUGCUUCGACCACUCGACCGCUUAAUCCUCACAGCUCGAUUACUUCAUUUUAGUUGUUAUCUUUUUAAUGAUUCAGAUGGCAUAUCAGUUUGAUUUGGUGGAAGAUUGGGGAAAUAUUUGACUAUGGAAUGCAGGAAAUAAACGCGAUGAGGAAAAAAAAAAAAAAAUCUGUUGUAUUUGUCUUCCUUAAGAAUCAGACAAGGGUGAUGCGUGAUGCGCGAAGCAAUCCUCAUGGCUCUCUCCGCGGAGUCGAACCCUGGCCUAGGGUGACGCCAGUUAGACCUGGUGGAAGGUUGGAUAUUUGGAUAAUGGAAUGUAGCAGGGAAAGCCAAGGCAAACAAAAUUCUCUUGUUUGAUUUGAAAUAGGAGGAUCAAGAGAGAGAAAAAAUCAAAAUAUAUAUAAUAGAAAAAAAAAAGGUGAAGUGAGCUCAGAUGCGCGUAUUGUCGUCCGAUACAUCAGACGUUGGUGAUGAGACCCAGCCAUCACAGGUUUAGCGCAAAUCAAUCGUCACUGCUCUCAUAAUUUCCUCUUCCAGAAUUCGAACCUUGGCCUGAGCACUCGGUUUUCCCAAGGCUCCGACCACUCGGCCACUUAAUCCUUAUGCUUGAUUCCUUCAUUUAACCUUUUUAUCAUUGAGAUGGCAUACUUGUUAUUUUUCUUUCAGUUUAUAUCUGGUAGGAAAUAUUUGACUAUGGAAUGUGGGAAAUAAAGGCAAUGAGAGAAAAAAAAUAAAAAAAUCUCUUGUAUAUAUAUAAAAUAGGAAUUAUUUA